UAGAAAGUGGUGUAGGGGAAGCACUAAGAGUUUUGAUCUCUUCAGUAUGGGUUCAACUCCCUUCUUUCUAA
rnacentral:tRNA from 1 species